CAUCAUUUUUUUUUUUUUGCGAAACUAAGGUUUUACAACUUCCAUUGGGCAAAUGUGUUGGGAAUGGUCAAUAUUUUAAAAUUUUGAGAUGGUGUACAAAAAAACAAUAGAACCUCGACUUUGCAGAAAUUUUAUGACCGUCAUAUUUUUUACGUGAAUCUAAGCUUAUACAACUUCUCUAGGGCUAAUAUCCCAAAGAUCGAUAAUUCUCUUCCAAAGAAGAGGUAGGGAGGCGACCCUUGAGAUAGGCGGUGAGAAGCGACUGAGGGCAAGGGCACCUCGCGGGCAGCACGCGCUCCUGUGCCCUCAAUGGCGAGUGCGAGGGCGGCUUAGGGUAGGGACGACGGUUGCUUCUUCCUUGGGCUACUUGGCUCAUACAAAUUUUAUUGGGCUAAUAUGUUAGGAAUGAUCAAUAUUUUGACUUUUCGAGAUUGUGCGCAAAAAAAUCAUUCGAAACUUAACUUUGCACAAACAUUAUAACCAUCACAUUUUUUUUGCGAAACCAGGCUUAUACAACUUCCCUAAGGCUAAUAUGUUAGGAAUGGUCAAUAUUUUAAAAUUUGGAGACGGUGCAUAAAAAACUGAUUGAACCUCGACUUUGCGCAAUCUUUAUGACCAUCAUGUUUUUCCGUGAAACCAAUCUCAUAGGAAUUCCCUAGGGCAAAUACGUUAGGAAUGAUUAAUUUUUUGAAUUUUUGAGAUGGUGCACAACGAACCUAUCAAACCAUGACUUUGCACAAAAUUUAUGACUGCCACGUUUUUUUACGAAGCCUAGCAUAUAUGACUUCCCGAAGGCAAAUAUAUUGGGAAUGGUCAAUAUUUUAAAUUUUUGAGGGAUCGUAAAAAACCGAUCGAACCUUGCCGCUUUGCAAAUCUGAUGACCGUCACGUCUUUUUGCAAAACCAGCUUGAACAACUUCCCUAGAGCUAAUAUGUUUGGAAUGGUCAAUAUUUCGAAUAUUCGAGAAGGUGCACAAAAACUUGAUCGAACCUCGACUUUGCGCAAACUUUAUAAUCGUCACAUUUUUUUGAAAAACCAAGCUUAAACAUCUUCUAU
rnacentral:lncRNA from 1 species